rnacentral:rRNA from 1 species
GCGAACGCUGGCGGCGUGCUUAACACAUGCAAGUCGAGCGGUAAGGCCCUUUCGGGGGUACACGAGCGGCGAACGGGUGAGUAACACGUGGGUGACCUGCCCUCAGCUCUGGGAUAAGCCUGGGAAAUUGGGUCUAAUACUGGAUAUGACUCCACGGUGCAUGUCGUGGGGUGGAAAGCCUUGUGCGGCUGAGGAUGGGCCCGCGGCCUAUCAGCUUGUUGGUGGGGNGAUGGCCUACCAAGGCGACGACGGGUAGCCGGCCUGAGAGGGCGACCGGCCACACUGGGACUGAGACACGGCCCAGGACUCCUACGGGAGGCAGCAGUGGGGAAUCUUGCGCAAUGGGCGAAAGCCUGACGCAGCGACGCCGCGUGAGGGAUG